AGCUGUCGCUAUGCGUUCUGUGCAUCAAACGAAACCGCAGUGACGUAGAGUUCCCCCGCUGUUUUGAUAAUGUCUGACCGGUGCAUAGCCUUAUCUGGCAUUCACUACAGUCAGUGCAGCUCUCGCUGGAAAUUCCUCCGCUGCUCUGACAGACUGUGAUGCGCUCGCGCUCGCGGCUCGCGCUCGGGACAGGGGCACCGGCACGCGCCACAGCGCUGGGCUUCUUGGCACGCAGGAUAAUAUAGGAACAUAAGGCUAUUUAGUGAUCGGUUUUUUUCUUGGAGGAGUGGCAGAAACCCAGUGCCUUCUGAAAAUUUUGGGUAAUUUCCAAUCGUCUGCCAUGUUUGAGGGGUCUGAGUCCGCGGACACACAGGAAGUCAAAUCUGAGAGCACCCUUGGGCCCUCUGUCUCCGCCUGCAGGAAGGUUUUGUGCAGUAACAGUGUUCUGGAUUCGUCGGAGUACUGGCUGAAGAACGAUAAGGCGCUCUGCAGAACGGGGUUCCUGGAGGACCAGCAGGACGGCGGCUGCCCUACAGUGAGUCUCUCUCAGAAGUGCUCUGUCCAUACGUUUGAUUAACGGUGUGUGUGUGUGGAAAGUGCAGUGGCAUUUAUAUUGUGCUCAGCCUCCCGCUGAUAAAUGUGCUCUUGAUUGGGGUGAUUGUGUGGUGUGAUGUUAGCUGUGGCUGAAUAAUAUAUACAGUAAUUCUCUGAACUGAGAGAAUACAUUUAGCUGCACUAACUGUGGGAUGGGAUAAUUAGAGCCUAAUCACAGAUUUUAUACCUCACUUUACUUUAAUGACAAGUUUCUUGUCUGAUGUAAAUGACGGCUCUGCACCCAUCUCACUGUGCAUAACAUCAUGCCAUGAUCUCGCUAGCAUUACUGCUUCUUGGGGAUAAAACGCUACAUGUCUGAUUAUUUGCCUAAUGCUAAUUUUAUGGAAAAUUAGUGCUAGGAUUUUUCAGUGUUGCAAGCCUUUCCUUUAUAUUUUUGGUUAUGUCUGGAGCAUUUUACUAGAAUUCAACUAAUUGGAAUUAUGAAUUUAGUUUGGGAAAUUCAGCAGACUUCAGAUACUCAGUUCUGAUUGACUAGAAUGUGUGAUAUGUCAGCAUGCAUUUAUUUUGGCCUCUUCACUGACAGCCAUAAAAAAAAAAAAAAAAAAAAAAAUUGACCUAAAAAAAAAUUUGUCAACCUAUUGCAGACAUCUUCUUUAAUCAACUAGUUAUCGAGGCUUCUUCAUGGAGCAUUGAAACCUUUGUGAAUAAUUUGUUUCUUAUUAAAUGUCUAUGGUUUGGCGCUCUGUGAACCCAUGAACCAGUGUCUAUAUGUUUUUACCUCAUCUCAGACCAGUUUUCUACAUUUUCAGACUUUUUUCUCGCAAUUCUGACUUUUUUCUAGUUUAUAUUUAACAGUUUUAACUUUUCUUUUUUAUCUUCUUGUGAGUUUCUGUCUCAAAAUUAUGUUUGUAUCUCCCAGUUCUGCAUUUUAUCUCGCAAUUCUGACUGUAUUUCUGCAUGUAUUUAUACUU